rnacentral:rRNA from 1 species
UACGAAGGGGGCUAGCGUUGCUCGGAAUUACUGGGCGUAAAGGGCGCGUAGGCGGGUCGUUUAGUUAGAGGUGAAAGCCCAGGGCUCAACCCUGGAAUAGCCUUUAAUACUGGCGGCCUUGAGUAUGGCAGAGGUGUGUGGAACUCCGAGUGUAGAGGUGAAAUUCGUAGAUAUUCGGAAGAACACCAGUGGCGAAGGCGACACACUGGGCCAUUACUGACGCUGAGGCGCGAAAAGCGUGGGGAGCAAACAGGG